rnacentral:rRNA from 1 species
AGGGUUUGAUCAUGGCUCAGAUUGAACGCUGGCUUCCGGCCUAACACAUGCAAGUCGAGCGGCAGCGGGAAAGUAGCUUGCUACUUUUGCCGGCGAGCGGCGGACGGGUGAGUAAUGCCUGGGGACCUGCCCAGUCGAGGGGGAUAACAGUUGGAAACGACUGCUAAUACCGCAUACGCCCUACGGGGGAAAGGAGGGGACCUUCGGGCCUUUCGCGAUUGGAUGAACCCAGGUGGGAUUAGCUAGUUGGUGGGGUAAUGGCUCACCAAGGCGACGAUCCCUAGCUGGUCUGAGAGGAUGAUCAGCCACACUGGAACUGAGACACGGUCCAGACUCCUACGGGAGGCAGCAGUGGGGAAUAUUGCACAAUGGGGGAAACCCUGAUGCAGCCAUGCCGCGUGUGUGAAGAAGGCCUUCGGGUUGUAAAGCACUUUCAGCGAGGAGGAAAGGUUGGUCGCUAAUAACGGCCAACUGUGACGUUACUCGCAGAAGAAGCCACG